rnacentral:rRNA from 1 species
GAUGAACGCUGGCGGCGUGCCUAAUACAUGCAAGUCGAGCGAACAGACGAGGAGUUUGCUCCUCUGACGUUUGCGGCGGACGGGUGAGUAACACGUGGAUAACCUACCUAUAAGUCUGGGAUAACUUCGGGAAACCGGAGCUAAUACCGGAUAAUAUAUUGAACCGCAUGGUUCAAUAGUGAAAGACGGUUUUGCUGUCACUUAUAGAUGGAUCCGCGCUGCAUUAGCUAGUUGGUAAGGUAACGGCUUACCAAGGCAACGAUGCGUAGCCGACCUGAGAGGGUGAUCGGCCGCACUGGAACUGGGACACGGUCCAGACUCCUACGGGAGGCAGCAGUAGGAAAUCUUCCGCAAUGGGCGAAAGCCUGACGGAGCAACGCCGCGUGAGUGAUGAAGGUCUUCGGAUCGUAAAGCUCUGUUAUUAGGGAAGAACAAAUGUGUAAGUAGCUAUGCACGUCUUGACGGUACCUAAUCAGAAAGCCACGGCUAACUACGUG